GAGGUUGAGAGGGUGGAAAAGAGAGGCGCUCCCUGUCCUCUCGCUCCGCAUAUGCGGGCCAGGCCGAGAGCUUCAGAAUUAAUUCGGGAUCGGAGAAGACAAGAGACAAGACUCCGAGUUUCUACUGUUUCUAGAUGCCCGGAUAAAAACCCUGGCCAACUUUCAUUCUUAACAAUUUAGUUUCAAAAAGGCUUCUCGGUGCCCCCUCUGCCUCCUCCGCCGGUCGCAAAGCGCUGCGCGAGCCCGGGGCGUCCGGCGAGGCCGGAGCCGGUACUCUGCCCGGUCCUCCAGCGGCUCCGCCGUCUCGGCCGCGGCCUUGGAAAAGACGGCCAGAACAAAGCCCACGCUACGAGCCCCUGCCUCAGAUACAUUUUCAGAUAACGCGUCGGAGCCUCGGACCCCCAGAGGGCCAGCUAGAAAGCACCCGGCCCGCCGUGACCCCGCCCCGUCGCCCAUUCGUCUUUCUCCCUCAGGAAGAGAGCACCGAGCGGCCGACGCAGAGCAGGAUUUCACCCCAACCCCGCCCGCGCGACUGGGGGUCCGGGGCGUCUCUUCUCCUCCGCGUACCGGAGUGGGGGAGGAGGGGUCGCAGAUUUGCCCAGGAAAAGAUGGGAGAAGAGCGCGGACUCUCGCUGCAGACCUCCCGUCAAGGUUACCGCCACCUCUAGGAACCUCUUCGGAGAAGCUCCAAAAUGCCUAUUUUGCAGAAAGCCUGCUAUGGUGCGUUGGGGCCUGCUGCUCAGAGAACUCUCAAGAGGCCUCGAUGUCUUGGUGCUUGAGUCAAGCCCUGCCUAGGCCCAUUUCUCCCGCGCAUCUCAGGUCACCUUUCCCCUUUCCCAAUUCCCCGCACCAGUUCGCACCAGUUCACACCAGCAACUGAGAUUUAGGCCUGUUUUCCCGAAGGGCCUCGGCCAGUCCCUGCACUUAGUAGGCAUGCAAUAAACCUUGAAAGCCCAAAUGAAUGAUGCUGCUUCCCUAUGCACAUGGUGCUUAGGGGUGAGAUUUCUCACAUAGGUCAGUGUGAUGAAGCUUGAUGGCAACAGUUGUUCACUUUGAAUCAAAGAAUAACUGUUAAUUGGUGUGCUGUCAUCAACCAGAAGUUUCCAAAUAUGUGUCCUCCAAUUCAAAGAGAAGUAGCUGGAUGCAAGCAAAAAUACUCAUGGGGACUCUCUGCACAUGAUGCAUCUCCAGAGAAAGUUGCUUCAUUCUUUUUUGUUUUUGGAACACUUCUUACAGUAUACUCCAGCUACUGGAUAGCAUCCUAAGUUCAUCCAGAUUUGUCCCAAGUCUGAAUUCUUGGUCUUCCUCCCACCCUCUAAUUCCACAGAUAAAGAAGAAAUAAUAAUAAAGGAAUAAAAAUCAUUUGUUUCUGUCUGACUGAAUCAUUCCAGUCUUGAAGCACCCUGGUGGGUUAAUUAGCCCUGUUAUUGUAUUUACUAUCUCCUACACACUUGUGUGUGGAAAAGUGCUCCUCUUGGCACUGUUCUAGGUGGAUAAGAGAACAUUACAACUAUGGCACUGGACUUUGCUCUUGAAAUAGAUGGUACUGUGGCAGCCUAAAGCUUGAACGAGCUUAGUUUUUCAUUGAUAAGGGUGUAAGUGGAUCAUCUAUCCCUGAUGUAUGCCAGCUGUGAUUUCAAAUAUUCUUAGUGUGAGCUUUGGUACCAUUAGGAAAAGAAACAUGGUAUCUCUUGUAGGAAGAGUUUGGAGAGGUUUACCCCAGCAAUCAAGAUGGUUAAGAUGAUUAAAUUCUGUGGAUAUAGUGCUUCUACCCUAAGUGAAAGAAAAAGAAAACAGCUGCUAGCUCAUUUCUC
ensembl:lncRNA